rnacentral:rRNA from 1 species
UACGUAGGGGGCUAGCGUUGUCCGGAUUUAUUGGGCGUAAAGAGCGUGUAGGCGGCCAGAUAGGUCUGCUGUGAAAACUCGAGGCUCAACCUCGAGAUGUCGGCGGAAACCAUUUGGCUAGAGUCCGGAAGAGGAAAGUGGAAUUCCUGGUGUAGCGGUGAAAUGCGCAGAUAUCAGGAAGAACACCGGUGGCGAAGGCGGGUCUCUGGGCCGAUACUGACGCUGAGGAGCGAAAGCGUGGGAAGCGAACAGG